rfam:Methyloprofundus sedimenti strain WF1 Contig001, whole genome shotgun sequence.
GGAAGGGCGACCAACCAUCUGAAAGAAGCCUAAGUGCAAAUCUGUGAGCCACUGGACAAAAACAGCAUAGUAAGGCCGAACCGCAGGGCGAGUCAGCAAAAUUGACGGAGCCCGCCUGGAUCACUGUGAAAUGGUAAAUGCUGUGGUUAUGCAGAGAAAGAUUAUAUUC